rnacentral:rRNA from 1 species
GAUGAACGCUGGCGGCGUGCUUAACACAUGCAAGUCGAACGGAAAGGCCCAAGCUUGCUUGGGUACUCGAGUGGCGAACGGGUGAGUAACACGUGGGUGAUCUGCCCUGCACUUCGGGAUAAGCCUGGGAAACUGGGUCUAAUACCGGAUAGGACCACAUUUUGGAUGGUGUGGUGGAAAGUUUUUCGGUGUGGGAUGAGCUCGCGGCCUAUCAGCUUGUUGGUGGGGUAAUGGCCUACCAAGGCGUCGACGGGUAGCCGGCCUGAGAGGGUGUACGGCCACAUUGGGACUGAGAUAUGGCCCAGACUCCUACGGGAGGCAGCAGUGGGGAAUAUUGCACAAUGGGCGCAAGCCUGAUGCAGCGACGCCGCGUGGGGGAUGACGGCCUUCGGGUUGUAAACUCCUUUCGCUAGGGACGAAGCGCAAGUGACGGUACCUGGAGAAGAAGCACCGGCUAACUACGUG